rnacentral:rRNA from 1 species
CGCAGCGACGCCGGCUGGGGGAUGAAGGUCUUCGGAUUGUAAACUCCUGUUAAGUGGGAAGAAACGCCUGUUGUUAAUACCAGCAGGGACUGACGGUACCAUUAGAGAAAGCACCGGCUAACUACGUGCCAGCAGCCGCGGUAAUACGUAGGGUGCUAGCGUUAUUCGGAAUUACCGGGCGUACAGGGUGCGUAGACGGCUUAUUAAGUCGGUUGUUAAAAAUUCCGGCCUAACCGGAAAAAUGCGGUCGAUACUGAUGAGCUAGAGGGUGGAAGAGAGAAGUGGAAUUCUCGGAGUAGCGGUCAAAUGCGUAGAUAUCGAGAGGAACACCAAUGGCGAAGGCAGCUUCUUGGUCCAUACCUGACGUUGAGGCACGAAAGCGUGGGGAGCAAACAGGAUUAGAUACCCUGGUAGUCCACGCUGUAAACGAUGAUCACUAGACGUUGGUUUUGCUUAGCAGAAUCAGUGUCGUAGCUAACGCGUUAAGUGAUCCGCCUGGGGACUACGGUCGCAAGACUA